rnacentral:rRNA from 1 species
AGUGGCGGACGGGUGAGUAACGCGUGAGAAUCUGCCUUGGGGUCGGGGACAACCACUGGAAACGGUGGCUAAUACCGGAUAAGCCGAUUGGUGAAAGAUUUAUUGCCCGAAGAGGAGCUCGCGUCUGAUUAGCUAGUUGGUGAGGUAAGAGCUCUCAAGGCAGCGAUCAGUAGCUGGUCUGAGAGGACGAUCAGCCACACUGGGACUGAGACACGGCCCAGACUCCUACGGGAGGCAGCAGUGGGGAAUUUUCCGCAAUGGGCGAAAGCCUGACGGAGCAACACCGCGUGAGGGAGGAAGGCUCUUGGGUUGUAAACCUCUUUUCUCAGGGAAGAAGCUCUGACGGUACCUGAGGAAUCAGCCUCGGCUAACUCCGUGCCAGCAGCCGCGGUAAUACGGAGGAGGCAAGCGUUAUCCGGAAUUAUUGGGCGUAAAGCGUCCGCAGGUGGCGAUUCAAGUCUGCUGUCAAAGCACGGGGCUUAACUCCGUAAAGGCAGUGGAAACUGAAUAGCUAGAGUGCCGUAGGGGUAGAGGGAAUUCCCGGUGUAGCGGUGAAAUGCGUAGAGAUCGGGAAGAACAUCGGUGGCGAAAGCGCUCUACUGGACGGCAACUGACACUCAGGGACGAAAGCUAGGGGAGCGAAUGGGAUUAGAUACCCC